rnacentral:rRNA from 1 species
GAUGAACGCUGGCGGCGUGCUUAACACAUGCAAGUCGAACGGAAAGGCCGAAGCUUGCUUCGGUACUCGAGUGGCGAACGGGUGAGUAACACGUGGGUGAUCUGCCCUGUACUUCGGGAUAAGCUUGGGAAACUGGGUCUAAUACCGGAUAUGACAAUCUCUUGGAUGGGGUUGUGGAAAGCUUUUGCGGUAUGGGAUGAGCUCGCGGCCUAUCAGCUUGUUGGUGGGGUAUGGCCUACCAAGGCGUCGACGGGUAGCCGGCCUGAGAGGGUGUACGGCCACAUUGGGACUGAGAUACGGCCCAGACUCCUACGGGAGGCAGCAGUGGGGAAUAUUGCACAAUGGGCGCAAGCCUGAUGCAGCGACGCCGCGUGGGGGAUGACGGCCUUCGGGUUGUAAACUCCUUUCGCAACCGACGAAGCUUUUGUGACGGUAGGUUGAGAAGAAGCACCGGCUAACUACGUG